AGUGAACGCUGGCGGUAGGCCUAACACAUGCAAGUCGAACGGCAGCACAGUAAGAGCUUGCUCUUACGGGUGGCGAGUGGCGGACGGGUGAGGAAUACAUCGGAAUCUACUUUUUCGUGGGGGAUAACGUAGGGAAACUUACGCUAAUACCGCAUACGACCUACGGGUGAAAGCAGGGGAUCUUCGGACCUUGCGCGAUUGAAUGAGCCGAUGUCGGAUUAGCUAGUUGGCGGGGUAAAGGCCCACCAAGGCGACGAUCCGUAGCUGGUCUGAGAGGGUGAUCGGCCACACUGGAACUGAGACACGGUCCAGACUCCUACGGGAGGCAGCAGUGGGGAAUAUUGGGCAAUGGGCGCAAGCCUGAUCCAGCCAUGCCGCGUGGGUGAAGAAGGCCUUCGGGUUGUAAAGCCCUUUUGUUGGGGAAGAAAAGCAGCAGGUUAAUACCCCGCUAUUCUGACGGUACCCAAAGAAUAAGCACCGGCUAACUUCGUG
rnacentral:rRNA from 1 species